AAAAGACCAAACUUAAAUUAUAUUAGGCUCAUGUGUCAAAUGAAAAUGACUGGAGCAAUUUGUAAGCAGUCUAUUCUUGGAAGGAUUUUAUGAUAUUAUGCUUAAACGACCAAUUUUCAUAUUUAAUGAACAAGAACUUGAACUAUUGAUCAGUGGCUUGCCUACUGUAAAUAUCUUAAAGGAGGAUCUUAAAGCAAAUAUUGACUAUCAUAAAUACACUGCUACGUUUUUAUAGAUUCAAUGGUUCUGGUGCAUUGCGAGGUUUUAAUCAAGCGGAUUGUUCGAAGUUCUUACAAUUCAUCACUGGUACAUCUAAAGUGCCGUUACAAGGUUUUCUGCGUUAGAAGGCAUGAAUGGCAUACAAAAGUUCCAAAUUCACAGAGAAGACAAGUUGACAGAUAGGCUUUCAUUUGCACAUAUUUGUUUCAGUCAACUGGAUUUGCCAGUGUACGAGACGUAUGAUAAACUCUGAACAAAUCUACUCAAGGCGACUUAUGAAAAUUUCAAAAUUAUUUCAACCUUUCAGAAAGCUUUCUGCAAUGAUCGGUGCUGUAUGGGCAGCUAACCAAAUGCAAUAAGAUUGCUGUUAUUUUUUGCCAACAAUUGUGUAGCAACUUAUUUCGUAUUUGCCGCAUCUCCUUUGCCAUUUUUGUUAUUUCGAUAACAAUAUUUAACAUAUAAAUAAUUGACAUAUAAAUAAACAUAUAAUACAAACGAAGUAUGUUUAAACAAA
rnacentral:lncRNA from 13 species